rnacentral:rRNA from 1 species
GGCCUCAGCCAUAUCACCCUGCAGUCCAAGACCAGUUACUCACUGAAGCUAAGCAGCGAUGAGCCUGGUCAGUAGCUGGACGACCACAUUGGCAAACUAGGUUAAUGAGGCCA